CAAUGAGUGCGGAGCGUCUAUCCCAUAGACGGUCUGUCUGCCCUAAACGCACGGAACGUCUAUCCCAUAGACGUUCUUACCCUACCUUUGUUUCGUUGCAUUUUUAAAUUAAAAAUUUUAACUAACAACAGUGGAACUAUUUUUAAUUUAUAAAAGAGUUCUUCAUCCUUUGUUUACAUAGAAAUUAGAAGCUUUUGGCUUUAUUUAGACAUUUAUUUAUUACUUUUUUUACAAUGUAAAAAAACGUCGCCAUGACUACGCUAGUCCAAGACACACCCACAAUGUUGACUACUGAAGAAACUUUAUAAUUAUUCUAAAAAUUAUCACAAAUAAAUAGUAAUAAUGAAGAAUUUGAUCUAGAUUAGAUUCAGGUAGGUCUAAAUUUAGCGUAUUUAUAAUAAUGAUUAUUAUUAUAUCUAUAUUAUUAGUAUUUAGAUCUAAAUCUAUUAUUGUCAGUAGGCUAGGUGUAGUCUGUAGAUCGAGAUUGACUAGAUCUAAGCUUUUAUCUCUAGACUUGGACUCUAGAUCUAGAUAUAUCUUUAGAUCUAAGCUUCUGGUAAAUAAAAAGAAAGGAAAUUUUAUGGUAGAUCUACAUCAAAUAAUCAUCCACUGUACUGUGGGCAUUUUUUCCCCAUUUUCUUUUUUUUUUUAGUAUUGUUUAUCUGUAAAAAUCUACAACAUCAUGGCUAUGCUUGUCCAAGACACACCCACAAUGUUUACUACUGAAGAAGCUUUAUUAUUGUUUUAUUUAUACUUCUAUGAAUUGUAAUAAUGAAGAUCUUGAUCAAGAUUUAGCAUAGGAUGAAGCAGACUUGGACAUUAUUAGCAUUUAGAUUUAGAUCUAGAUCUAGUAUUGCCUUAUAUGCUUAGGCUUAGGCCUUAGCCUUAGACUAGGGCUAGGUCUUGAAUGUAGAUCAAGGUUGACUAGAUCUAUGCUUUUAUCUUUACACCUUUGUAGAUUCCUAUAGAUCUAACCCUUAGAUAAAUGAAAACAACAGAAAUGGCAGAUCUAAAUCCAAUAUUCAUCCACCAUGCUGGGCCUUUUCUUGGUAUAUUUUCUAGCAAUUUUUUUUAGUAUUGUUUUUUGGUAAAAAUCAUCACCAUCACUAUACUGGUUCAAGUUGCACUCCAAAAGGUUUACUACUAAAUAAAAGUAAAAUAUAAAACUAUUCUAAAUCCAUAAUUUAUCACAAAGGAACAGUAAUAAUGAUCUAUUCGAUGUCUAAAUCUUAGGUAAAAUGAAUUAGGAUUUUUAUUGUCCUUCAUCUAGUUAGAGAUUUAGGCUUUGAUCUCUCGCUAGCCUAUGUCUUGCACUGGUCUAGUAUUAGAAUGAAAGAUGUUCUAUGCAAAUAAAAAGAAGACAAAUCUAGAUCUAUAUCCCAUUGAUUCAAAUGUACAUAAUAUUUGAGUGCAUUUGGUUGAUAGAUUUAGUGCUGGUAUCUAUUGUUAUUGGUAGUAAUGAAAAGCGCAAUAAUUUUCACUUUUUUUUCUGACUAAAAAACCAGGUAAAAAUAAUAAUAUAAUCAAUGAUUCAUCAUCUUUUAUUGACUGUUUUAUCACAUUUCUUUUUGAAAAUGCUGUAAAUAGUCUAAAUAUGCUGUUUCAACAGUAAUACAAAGAACAAAAUCUAAAUUUAGGUCUCAAAAGUUCUAAAGUUGGCAUCCAUUUUUUUUUCUGAGUGUCAUAUUAUUUAGAUUAUAAUUUGUAUCUUAUAUUUAAAUAGAAAGAUGUUUACAUUUUCACAUUCUCCAUUCAUUUACCUUUACUUUGAUACCAAAUUUGUUACUAUAGCAUCAUUGGUACUUAAACAAUAAAUUUUUGUUUUAGCCAUG